rnacentral:rRNA from 1 species
AGAGUUUGAUCCUGGCUCAGAACGAACGCUGGCGGCACGCCUAACACAUGCAAGUCGAGCGCUACCUUCGGGUGGAGCGGCGGACGGGUUAGUAACGCGUGGGAACGUACCCAGAUCUACGGAAUAGCCUUUGGAAACGAAGAGUAAUACCGUAUACGCCCUUCGGGGGAAAGAUUUAUCGGAUUUGGAUCGGCCCGCGUAAGAUUAGAUAGUUGGUGGGGUAAUGGCCUACCAAGUCUACGAUCUUUAGCUGGUUUGAGAGGAUGAUCAGCAACACUGGGACUGAGACACGGCCCAGACUCCUACGGGAGGCAGCAGUGGGGAAUCUUAGACAAUGGGCGCAAGCCUGAUCUAGCGAUGCCGCGUGAGUGAUGAAGGCCUUAGGGUCGUAAAGCUCUUUCGCCUGUGAUGAUAAUGACAGUAGCAGGUAAAGAAACCCCGGCUAACUCCGUGCCAGCAGCCGCGGUAAUACGGAGGGGGUUAGCGUUGUUCGGAAUUACUGGGCGUAAAGCGCACGUAGGCGGACUAUUAAGUCAGAGGUGAAAUCCCGGGGCUCAACCCCGGAACUGCCUUUGAUACUGGUAGUCUUGAGUUCGAGAGAGGUAAGUGGAAUUCCGAGUGUAGAGGUGAAAUUCGUAGAUAUUCGGAGGAACACCAGUGGCGAAGGCGGCUUACUGGCUCGAUACUGACGCUGAGGUGCGAAAGUGUGGGGGAGCAAACAGGAUUAGAUACCCUGGUAGUCCACACCGUAAACGAUGAAUGCCAGACGUCGGG